GGAUGCGAUCAUACCAGCACUAAAGCAACGGAUCCCAUCAGAACUCCGCAGUUAAGCGUGCUUGGGCGAGAGUAGUACUAGGAUGGGUGACCUCCCGGGAAGUCCCCGUGUUGCAUCCC
rnacentral:rRNA from 1 species